AUAUAUCUGAGGAGUCCCAUAAUAGGACGAAACGGCCGUCCAGUGC
rnacentral:hammerhead_ribozyme from 1 species